GGCCUCUGCCGGGUCGGCAGUGUCAUCUGUCUAGGUAGUGGCUUCCCUGCCUACGGCACGAUCAUGGCUGGAGCGCUGGUACGCAAAGCGGCAGAGUAUGUCCGGAGCAAGGACUUCCGAGACUAUCUCAUGAGUACGCACUUCUGGGGCCCAGUUGCCAACUGGGGUCUCCCCAUUGCUGCUUUCAAUGACAUGAAGAAAUCUACAGAGAUUAUCAGUGGGAAGAUGACUUUCGCUCUCUGUUGCUAUUCUCUGACAUUCAUGAGAUUUGCCUACAAGGUACAACCUCGAAACUGGCUUCUGUUUGGAUGCCAUAUAACAAAUGAAGUAGCUCAGCUCAUUCAGGGAGGACGACUUAUCAACUACGAGUUGAGUAAGCAGCCAUCUGCGUAGCAGUGCAAGGACCAGCUCUUGAAAGGGACAGUGCUCCAGUCACUGCUGCAGCCACAGAUCAUGUCAGCAUAAAUAGUCAUGCUGAGGGGAAAACACAGAAUGCUAUCUUUAAUGACCAUGCCAACAUUAUUGAAUAGCCGGGAGUCUCUAAACCAACUCUCUGCUGCCUUAUCAAUGCUAAACUUUAUUUGUCUUCAUCAAGAGUAGUUCAAAAUAUGCAACUAAUUUAAUAAUUUUGAAUGAUGGCUUUAUCUAUAGCAAUCUGUAGUAAUAUAUUAUCUAUUGGGAUUUGUGUAAUAAAAAAUCUAAGGGAACAAAA